rnacentral:rRNA from 1 species
UACGGGGGGGGCAAGCGUUGUUCGGAAUUACUGGGCGUAAAGGGCUCGUAGGCGGCCAACUAAGUCAGACGUGAAAUCCCCCAGGCUCAACCUGGGAACUGCGUCUGAUACUGGAUGGCUUGAAUCCGGGAGAGGGAUGCAGAAUUCCAGGUGUAGCGGUGAAAUGCGUAGAUAUCUGGAGGAAUACCGGUGGCGAAGGCGGCAUCCUGGACCGGCAUUGACGCUGAGGAGCGAAAGCCAGGGGAGCAAAGCGGG